GGGGAAUAUUGGACAAUGGGGGGAACCCUGAUCCAGCCAUGCCGCGUGUGUGAAGAAGGCCUUAUGGUCGUAAAGCACUUUAAGCGAGGAGGAGGCUACUUUGGUUAAUACCUAAAGAUAGUGGACGUUACUCGCAGAAUAAGCACCGGCUAACUCUGUGCCAGCAGCCGCGGUAAUACAGAGGGUGCGAGCGUUAAUCGGAUUUACUGGGCGUAAAGCGUGCGUAGGCGGCUUUUUAAGUCGGAUGUGAAAUCCCCGGGCUUAACUUGGGAAUUGCAUUCGAUACUGGGAAGCUAGAGUAUGGGAGAGGAUGGUAGAAUUCCAGGUGUAGCGGUGAAAUGCGUAGAGAUCUGGAGGAAUACCGAUGGCGAAGGCAGCCAUCUGGCCUAAUACUGACGCUGAGGUACGAAAGCAUGGGGAGCAAAC
rnacentral:rRNA from 1 species